rnacentral:rRNA from 1 species
CACCUACGGGAGGCAGCAGUGGGGAAUAUUGGACAAUGGGCGCAAGCCUGAUCCAGCAAUCCCGCGUGUGUGAAGAAGGCCUUCGGGUUGUAAAGCACUUUUGUUCGGGAAAAAAUCCGUGUGGUUAACACCCCUACGGGAUGACGGUACCGAAAGAAUAAGCACCCCCUAACUUCGUGCCAGCAGCCGCGGUAAUAAGAAGGGGGCAAGCGUUUAUCGUAAUUACUGGGGGUAAAGCGUGCGUAGGCGGUUUUUUAAGUCAGAUGUGAAAACCCCCGGCUCAACCUGGGAACUGCAUUUGAUACUGGCAGGCUAGAGUACGGUAGAGGGUAGUGGAAUUCCCGGUGUAGCGCGAAAUGCGUAGAGAUCGGGAGGAACAUCCGUGGCGAAGGCGGCCACCUGGACCAGUACUGACGCUGAGGCACGAAAGCGUGGGGAGCAAACAGGAUUAGAUACCCUGGUAGUCCCCGCCCUAAAAGAUGGGAAGUGGAGGUUGGGGUC